rnacentral:misc_RNA from 1 species
AAAAUGCGAUAUCUAGUGUGAAUUGCAGAUUUACGUGAAUCAUCGAGUCUCUGAACGCAAAUUGCGCUCCACGGCUAUUCCGUGGAGCAUACCUGUUUGAGUCUCACCCUUUUUUUCUUUCUCUAAGAAAAAUGCGCUUUUUUUACUGUUUCUUGCAGUUAGCGUUAAACACAUAACAAAACAGGGAUUCCUAGAGGAAAGACCCACAGUGUGUUCAUACCACCUGUGUGCCUCAACCUCAAAAUCCCUUCCCACAAAAAAAAGAGCUCAAAUCAGGCAGGACUACCCGCUGAACUUAA